UGGCAGCUUUGAUAAACCCCCCAGUUGUUAUCUGUGACCUCUGGGACAAGGAAAGUUGCAAGAUGAAUUUUAGAACAUCCAAAACCAAGCAUCACUGUAAUGCUCUUGGUUAUUUCACCUCUAAGACAAUU